rnacentral:rRNA from 1 species
AAUCCGGUUGAUCCUGCCGGACCCUACUGCUAUCGGGGUGGGACUAAGACAUGCGAGUUGAGCGUCUCUAAGCUAUGGUAGAGACGCGGCAUACGGCUCAGUAACACGUGGCUAACCUACCCUUAGGACGGGGACAACCCCGGGAAACUGGGGCUAAUACCCGAUAGGUGAGGAGGCCUGGAAUGGUUCCUAGUCGAAAAGGCGUUGAAACCAUGCUUUUCGAUGUCGCCUAAGGAUGGGGCCGCGCCCGAUCAGGUUGUUGGUGGGGUAACGGCUCACCAAGCCUAUAACCGGUACGGGCCGUGAGAGCGGGAGCCCGGAGAUGGGCACUGAGACAAGGGCCCAGGCCCUACGGGGCGCAGCAGUCGCGAAAACUCCGCAAUGCGCGAAAGCGUG